AAAGCAGAGCAUGCGGUGAAACAAAUAACACCGUAGGCGAGAGCGGUACUUUAUAUGAAAAAUUACCGCCUUCCCAAGCGCCACCUCCUCGCGUGUUGCUUGUCUUUACUGGCGUGUGGCACAACGGCACCGCUCUUGCCACCAACAGCAAACAGCUGUGUGGCACCCGACCAGCCCUGUUCUUUCUUUUUCUUUCUCCAAUUCACUCGAAAGUUCAGCUUCAAUUUGUGCCCGAUUUGUAAUUCAAGC
rnacentral:lncRNA from 1 species